rnacentral:rRNA from 1 species
CCUACGGGAGGCAGCAGUGAGGAAUAUUGGUCAAUGGACGAGAGUCUGAACCAGCCAAGUAGCGUGAAGGAUGACUGCCCUAUGGGUUGUAAACUUCUUUUAUAAAGGAAUAAAACGAGGCACGUGUGCCUUUUUGCAUGUACUUUAUGAAUAAGGAUCGGCUAACUCCGUGCCAGCAGCCGCGGUAAUACGGAGGAUCCGAGCGUUAUCCGGAUUUAUUGGGUUUAAAGGGAGCGUAGAGGGUGUGUUAAGUCAGUUGUGAAAGUUUGCGGCUCAACCGUAAAAUUGCAAUUGAUACUGGCAGUCGUGAGUACAGUUGAGGGAGGCGGAAUUCGUGGUGUAGCGGUGAAAUGCUUAGAUAUCACGAAGAACCCCGAUUGCGAAGGCAGCUUACUAAACUGUGACUGACAUUGAUGCUCGAAAGUGUGGGUAUCAAACAGGAUUAGAUACCCUUGUAGUC